GUGUUCACUUCUGCAGCACAUAUACUAAAAUUGUAACAGUACAGAGAUUAGCAUGGCCCCUGCGCAAGGAUGACAUGCAAAUUCAUGAAGCAUUCCACAUUUUA
rnacentral:snRNA from 1 species